CACUGAGCAGAAAACCAAGGCCCUCCUGCCCAUGGCCCUUCCCCCCACUUCUGAAUCUCAGCACCCAGUGCCAAUAUCUUUGAGACUAUGAAUACUUCAUGUUCUCACAGGUCAAAGGCCCUUGAGGAGCCAGUUAGUCCAGGAAUUGCUGUUCUGUGCAUAGCGAUGUCUGCAAAUGGCAAAUGGAGACAGAUAGGCCUCACCAGUCUCAAAGGUCUGAUUACCAUUGUGAGUCCAUGCUUCUCCUGGAUCGUACUUACUCUAGCAAAAUCUGGUCAUCCACUAAGCCAGGCCAUUAUGCCUUGGAUGGAAAAGCCAAAGUCCUCCAGUCUCCAGAAAUAGUCAAAUACAUUGCCAUUUUCUUCACUGCUGAUUGUGGCAAUCCAGAAAAUAUUAUAGUCCAGUAGCUAAAGUUGGAAGUGCUAAUCUGCUUAUCCUGAGAGAUAAGAUGGAACAACACAAAGGAAAAGCUUGACUUAUGUCCCAUAGUCUUCAAUAAAUAGAAUUUCCCUCCAUAGUACCUGUCCUUUUCUUACUGUGUCGU
rnacentral:lncRNA from 1 species